GGCGACUGGGCGGCGGGUGCCAUGCGCCUGGAGCUUCAUAGUCUCAGCUCCCGCCCACCGCACCCGCCCGCCUCCGCGGUCACGCCCCAGACCUCCGACACCUGUCAAGCAGGCAAAGAGGGACACAGCAGACUCCUGCCCUGAAACACUGUGUGUCCCAACCCAGGCGGAAUUGAUGGCAGCACAGAUGAAAAAAUGCCAGAAAACCUCAGAGCAGACUGGCCUCAACCACAGCAAACAGCUCUCAACAGCCUGCCCCCAGCUCACCCUUCCUUUUCAUAAAAAAAUAAACACAGAACCUGAGAUUAAGAGCAAUUUCGGUAGGAUGAGAUCCCUGGGCACAGCACCUGCAGGAAGGAGAGAGGACUGAAAUGGAAGAUAACUCCAAGCUUUGUCUUGAGGAAUUUUUAAACCUCCAUCCAUCUCAAUUUUGUUAUUUGUGAAAUGGGGUCUUAAUAACUAUUUAAUAGGAGAAUUAUAAGAUUGCAUCGGAUGUGUGAAAGUGCUUUAUGUUUAAAGCAGUAUAUGCCGCUACAGAUUUUGAAAAUUCAUUUUUAUAUUUCCUUUGCUUUUUUUUUUUUUUCCUUUGCUUUUUAACCUAGUAAGUGCCAUGACCAGCCAUAAUGACCACAUUACACAUUUUAAAACCAUUGCUAGACUUUGGUGCUGAUGGUGUGAUAAUAGCAAUAGCAAGACAAACAGAAAGAGGAGUGUGGGUAGGUGGUGGGUGUGUGUGUUCAUGCCCAUGUGCUGAGUUUUCUUUAUGUUCUGAAAAGUUCUGUGAAAGCCAUCCAGUGUGCAAAUGGGAAGGAACACAAAUCAGGUAGGGAAUCUACCCAGGUGUCAGAGAGUCCACAUUGAUCUAACUGACAAAAUAACUGUCUAUCCCAAGUUCAUGUCAUUACUUUUAAAAAAAUAAUAACCAUUUUUACUGCUAAUAGUUUCAAAGACUUGUGUAGAUGUUUUUUACUUUGUUAUAUUGGUUAAGAUUUUUAAAGUUAGCUCUUAAGGUAAUAGCUUAUCUUAAGAUGCCUUUGUUUAAGAGAUGAGGUAAAUUCCAUCCUGGAAGCAAGAAUGACCUAGAACAGAUGCUUUUUUCCAAUUCCACUCCAAUGGAUCCCUUAGGCUGAAUUCCACCUCUU
rnacentral:lncRNA from 1 species